GUUACGAAUGAUCCUACAUAAGAGACAAGUUUAGAAAACAACAGCCAUCGUGUGAUAAACACGAAUUUAACGUGAAAACCUAUAGAUUUGCUUUAAACUUGUUUUUUUAUUAUAAACGUUAGUUUUCUGGUGCUCGUUCAUGUCAAUCUCCUAAUGAGAGGUAAGAGAAAAGCAAUAGAAAAAAGCAAGAAAAGAAACAUGAAAUAAGCCUCUCCUUUUUAAGGCCUCAAAAACUGCUUAAUUCAAUUUUCGUUGCAAUGUAACAUCGAUAGAUAGGGUGUUCAGGGUUUUCACUAUUUAAGUCGCGAAGAAAGAUAAAGCUUGGAAAAACCAUAGCUCAUCUAAGUUAAUUUUCAGUGUAGAGCCUCGUACAGAGUUUUGUAACCUGGGAAGAAGCAAUAUGAUGACCCCAAAGGUUCGAAGGUCAUCUUUGGUCUGAUAUAUGA